rnacentral:rRNA from 1 species
AGAGUUUGAUCCUGGCUCAGAACGAACGCUGGCGGCGUGCCUAACACAUGCAAGUCGAACGAGAAAGCCUUCGGGCAAGUAAAGUGGCGCACGGGUGAGUAACGCGUGGGUAAUCUGCCCUUCAGUCUGGGAUAACAACUCUAACGAGCUGCUAAUACCGGAUACGACAUCAACCUCUGCGGGGGAUGAUGGGAAAGAAUUUCGCUGAAGGAUGAGCCCGCGUAUCAUUAGGUAGUUGGUGGGGUAAUGGCCUACCAAGCCCGAGAUGAUUAGCUGGUCUGAGAGGACGAUCAGCCACACUGGGACUGAGACACGGCCCAGACUCCUACGGGAGGCAGCAGUGGGGAAUAUUGCGCAAUGGGCGGAAGCCUGACGCAGCAACGCCGCGUGAGUGAAGAAGGUCUUCGGAUUGUAAAGCUCUGUUAAGAUAGGAAGAAUAGCCUUCGGGUUCGACGGUACUAUCUCAGGAAGCACCGGCUAACUCCGUGCCAGCAGCCGCGGUAAUACGGAGGGUGCAAGCGUUGUUCGGAAUUAUUGGGCGUAAAGCGUGCGUAGGCGGAUUGUUAAGUCUGGUGUGAAAUCCCUCGGCUCAACCGAGGACGUGCAUUGGAUACUGGCAGUCUUGAGUCCUGGAGAGGAGAGCGGAAUUCCUAGUGUAGAGGUGAAAUUCGUAGAUAUUAGGAGGAACACCAGCGGCGAAAGCGGCUCUCUGGACAGUGACUGACGCUGAGGCACGAAAGCAUAGGUAGCAAACAGGAUUAGAUACACUGGUAGUCUAUGCCGUAAACGAUGGGUACUAGUCGGUGCGGGUA